rnacentral:lncRNA from 1 species
AAGAUGUCAAAGACUUUGAACCAAGGUCCAACAUUUCAGCUUAUGGAGACAAUGACAUUGAUGUAAAAGAAAAGAAUGGAGCCAUUAAAGAUUUUGAACCUAGACCUAAUAUUUCAGCUUAUGGAGAAAAUGUCAUUGAUGCUGAUGAAAAGAAGAAACCAGUCAAAGAUUUUGAACCAAGACCCAAUAUUUCAGCUUAUGGAGACAAUGACAUUGAUGUUAAGGAAAAUAAGGGAGCCACCAACGAUUUUGAGCCAAGACCCAACAUUUCAGCUUAUGGAGACAAUGUCAUUGAUGAUAAUAAAAUGAAGAAACCAGUUGAAUAUUUCCAACCAAGACCAAACAUUUCAGCUUAUGGAGAAAAUGACAUUGAUGUUAAAAAAAGUAAAGAUUUUGAACCAAGACCCAACAUUUCAGCUUUUGGAGACAAUGACAUUGAUGUUAAUGAAAAGAAGGGAGAUACUAAAGAUUUCGAACCAAGACCAAAUAUUUCAGCUUAUGGAGACAAUGCCAUUGAUGAUGAUGAAAUGAAGAAACCAAUUAAAGAUUUUAAACCAAAACCAAACAUUUCGGCUUAUGGAGACAAUGUCAUUGAUGCUGAUGAAAUGAAGAAACCAGUCGAAGGUUUUGAACCAAGACCAAACAUUUCAACUUAUGGAGACAAUGUCAUUGAUGUUGAUGAAAUGAAGAAACAACAAGUCAAAGAUUUUGAACCAAGAACCAACAUUUCAGCUUAUGGAGACAAUGACAUUGAUGUUAAAGAAAAGAAGGGAGUCACCAACGAUUUUGAGCCAAGACCCAACAUUUCAGCUUAUGGAGACAAUGUCAUUGAUGCUAAUAAAAUGAAGAAACCAGUUGACGAUUUCCAACCAAGACCAACUAUUUCAGCUUAUGGAGACAAUGCCAUUGAUAAUAGUAAAACGAAUGAAGUCAUCAAAGAUUUUGAAUCAAGACCCAACAUUUCAGCUUACGGUAACAAUGAAGUUGACACUAAGAAAAAAGAAAAAGCUGCCAAAGAUUUUGAACAAAGACCCAUUAUUUCAGCUUAGGAAGACAACAUCAUUGAUGCUGAGAAAGAUGACGAGUUCACAAAGGAUUUUGAACGCAUGCCAAGAGUCACUAAAUAUGAUGCAUAACUUUAAUAAUUAAAAUAAAAUGCUAUUUCAAUUUCUGAUGUAAUACACUUAAUAAGUCAUUGCUACUUUAUGUUCAAUGAUAUUUAGUAUAUGUAUUAUGCAUUAAGCUUUUUGAAUGAAGGAACUUCUCCUUGUUUACUGAUGACAGUCAGUCAUUCACUAUUUUUAGAGUCUUUUUAUGAUAUUUUUGAGUUCACAAGCAAUCUUAAGCAACAAGAAAAGAAAGAAAAGUAAGAAAAAACUGAAGAAACUGAAAAGUGGGCAUCGUGUCACGAUUACUAAAAAGCGUGUCACGAUUUGGAACAUAGGAUGAGUUCAUUCAAGAUUGGUUAAAACGUGUCACGAUGGCUAUUUCGUGACACGAUUUUAAGAACAUGUGGCAAGAGAAAAUAUGAUCAAAAAGAGCAAAACAGGAGGUGUCAAGAAGUAAUGGAAUUAAGAAUUCCUAUUAAUUAAUGGGCUAUGUUGAUCCAAGAGGAGAAAAACGUGAUUAAUUGGAAAGGCAGCUGGGUUAGAUGAACCUAUAUAAAGAAGCAACAAGAGAGCUGCAAAUUAUCUUUCAAAAAAAAAAGAGAGAGCUGCAAAUUAUUCAAGAUGGUGACAUCACGGUUACGGCAAGAAUCACGUUUGGCACUUGUUGGAGAAGAAAAACGGGAACAAGCAUAUCACUAAGGAAGCAACAACGGCAAUUGAAAGAAAAUUGAGGAGCACUGUCGACAACGACUAAACUUUAUUGGUUUAAUUUCUUCUUUAUGUUGUUUGCUUAUUUGAUUAUGUCUAGCUAAACAUGGUUAGUCUAGGAAUGUAUAAUCCUUUACUAGUGAUAUUAGGUUAACGUGCUUAAAACCUUCAAAGAAUAUUAGCUCACCUAAGGAAUUAGGGACUGUAAUAUGAGAAGAGGGUCCUAACUCAAGGGAUGAAUUAUGACUAUUUUGUUAACUAUCGUGGAACUAGAAAAUCAUUCAUAAGAAUAGGUGCAGUAUACCCAUUUGGGGAACAUUGAUGACUCGAAAGACCUAGUCUCAUCUCUCCAUAUAUAGUUUCCAAAACUAUCUUUAUUUUCUGUUUAUUUAAUUUUAUGCAAUCAAAUCAAAUCUACAAACAAAAUAAUUUUUACAUCCUAAAUAUUUACUUUAUUGCUAAAUUGAGAUUAAUACAUUCUUCGUAGAUACGAACUUAUUUUAUUACUUCGAUGCAUGUUUAAUACACUUGCUAAAAGUCUAUCAUUUACCAAGAAUAGGAUAUAGUCUUGGUGAUUACAAGAAUGUUUCUUCGACAUUAAUAACUUCCUUGGCAGAUGUUAAAAUAUGGCGAUAUUUCCUUUAGAUCAAUCGAUCCUUCUUUUUGAAAUUAACCUGCACCGGCCCUUGUAUGUGUUUCAUGCUUCAUGUGCUUGAGCAUAUCACUCUAGUGUUUCCAGUUCCCACCAUUAAUGUCUAUCUUGUUUCCUAUUAUAUAACAACUACAAAAGAAAAAUUAUCUACAUCUAAAGGACUUUGCAUGUCAAGAAGAUACUCAAUCAUACACAAAAUUGUUAACGAAGUUUGAACAAUUUAAAAGAAAAUGUAACAAAAACGAAAAUGAAUUGAGGAAAACAUCUAGCUCGUAGGCCCACAGUUUUAAUUGCAUAUGUAUGUUACCCACGACGUAAACUUCUAUGGCUGAAGGAGUAUUUUUUUUACCAGAACUAUGGCUAAAGGUUAACGUGGGUAUGUGGCAAUUUUCUAGCAGAGCUUGUAUUAUUGCAUUAUCGUAGAACUACUAAUUUUUACUCCAAACACUCGGACAUUUUAUUGACGAGAAUUAAAAUUAGAGGUGGGAAGUUCCCGCGAGAAUGCAUAGUUUAGCUGGCAGGGACAAUACAUUAUUAUUAUAUAUAGAGAUUGAGGUUUGAAUCCCGAACACUCCACUUAUUCAUCUUAAAAAUGAAUUCUAACCAACUACAUCAAAACAACUCAAAUGACAAAGAAUGCAAGCCGUUUGCUAAUAAGUCUUAAAAUUUAUCUUUUUUUUUAAGUAAGUCUUAAAAUUUGAGCUACAACCAUUGAAAAUAAUUUAUAGCUAACAUUACUAUAUAGCGAUGAGGCUAAAUCGUUUCACUUUGAAACGAGCUUCAGCCUUAAGAUGAGAGCGGUUAGGGUUAUGUUUAUGUCAUUGAUCUUUUCCAGAUUUGAGAAACACCCCCGAGCCAAAUUUCAAGUAGGAAAAUCCAAAGUGUUAAAGUUGCUUUUGAAUAAAAUAGAUGAAAUCAUUUGGGCAUGGAGACUUAUAAAUUACCCAUAGUUCAACAAAAGCAACCUGAACCUCAAUGAGGUUACCUCAUUAUCCGUCACCGAUCAUCAACAUAGUUCUAUCAUGCUGAAUAUGCUAAGAUAAUUAUUAUUGGUCCCUUAGUAAAUGGAAACAAACUUUUUUUAAUCACCCUCUUCAUAAAUCUAAGAAUCCUUGGCUCUGUUCGGUAAAAAUAAGCUAUAAGCUAGCUGAUAGCUGAUAAGUUAGCUGAUAGCUGAUGAGUGAUAACUGAUAGCUGAUAGCUGAAAAGCUUGCUUAAUAAAAAUAAUGUGUUUGGUAAAAUUAGUUGUUGAAGUGGCUGAUAAAUAUAAAAUGACAUUUUUUUUUUUAAUAUACAUAUAAACACACAUUUUUUUGUAAUGUAUUUAUUUUUUAAUAUUUUUAAUUAUAGUUAAAUAUGUUUUUGGUCCCUAUAAAUAUUCAAAUUUUUGGUCUUAGUCUCCAUAAAAAAAUUCUUCGACCUUUAGUCCUAAAAAAAAAAUCACUGACAAUUUUGAUCUCUGCUUUAUGUAUCCCAAAAUUAAGAGAAAGGUGGAAACAAAAAGUGAGUUAGAAUAUAUAAAAUUUUACAACGUACAAAAGACUAGUUAUUUUUUCCUUUAAAAAAAAUAGGCUAGUUAUUUUUUUUGUGGUGUACGGCAGGUUAGUUAUAGCAAAAUAUAAAGCAUUUCCUUAAAAUAUAUAUAUAUAUAUAUAUAUAUAUAUAUAUAUAUAUAUAUAUAUAUAUAUAUAAAGUGCUCCUUAAAAAAAAAACUAUGUUGCAUUUUUUUUAAGGGAAAAAAUGGGGCGGUUAUAAAGAUGAACAUGAGUAGUUGUUUAAUUAAAAAAAUAAUUAAUUUAAAUUAAUAGGGUUAAAGUUGGAAGAAAAUAUAAAAAGCUACCAGCUAUAAGCUAAAAAGCUACUUGAAAUAGCUUUUCAAAAAACGCUAUAAGCUCAUGAAAAAAGCUUGUUACCAAACACGUCACGUUUUCAUCUAACGAGCUUAUAAGAUAAUCCAACAAACUAUAAGUUAACUUUUUUGUGUUACCAAACAUAACCCUUCUGUUUUUGGAGAGUAACAAUCCUAUUGUAACGUUUUUACUUGAGCGUUAAGAGAUGGAAGAACAGGGUAUUCAGAUCACCUUGGUUCCCCCUAACUUAUAGCGACACUGUCGGUAUCAGUAGUUGUCAUCAAAUUUGAUAAGCCAAGCCACCUUUAAUCCGCUCAAGUUAUUAAUCAUUCAAAGGCAUUUUCGGAAUUAAUCUUAAGCAGUUCAAGUUAGAAAUGAUUUGUUUAUUUAUGCGUUGGAGUCUAACAUGUCAAAUAUUAAAAUCACAACAUAUAAAUAAAAGCAUAAAUUUUAUUCUUAUCAAUGUUUAAUUUAAAUAUGUCUUCAAUGGCGUACCCUUCUCCCACAAAGACGCAUUUUUAGUAAUGAUGUUGAAAUCAACUUCUAUAGAUUGAGUAAACUCUGCAUUAUUUAAAAGAAAAUUUGAAACAAGAUUUUUUCAAAUUUAUGGAGUGUGCAUCACAUCCUCCUUCAGUAUUAGAGUCUUUCUGGAGAUGAACUUCAUCAUAUUAGUUUAAGUAACACAUGGAUCAAAUAAUCUUGAAACUUAAGUUGGAGUGCGCAAGCGGAUAAGGCUGGUUUUUUGUUUUGUUGCUUAAUAGCAGUUUUAGUCCCCUAACUUUUCUAAAGUUACGAUUUUGAUCCCUUAAGAAAAAGAACUACAAAACUGUCCCCUAAGUUUUGCAUAUGUGGCAGUUUUGACCCCCAAGGUCAAUUUUGACUCGGUCUACGCUCACGUGGCACCUUAAGUGAGGCGCCGCGUGUUAUUUUUCUUUACCAAAAAGUGCUAUUGGGGGGCCAAAACUGCCAGAGUUGCAAAACUUAGGGGCCGGUUUUGUAGUUUUUUUUUCUUAGGGGGCCAAUAUCGCAAAUUCGUGAAAGUUAGGGAGCGAAACUGCUAUUAAGCCUUUCUUUUAAUUGUUAGUUGGAUAAGAUUUAAACGAAACUUGUUCGUUAAGAAAAGCACUACCGGAUAAUGAUAAAAUUUAUUAAUUUAACAUUUUCGAAUGAUAAAAAAAACUUUGGCCUAAGCCCAACCCUAUGGCGUCACCGCAUAUGUGAUAUAUAUUUUCUUGAGCACUCUCGGUUCACAAAAAUGAGUAUCCAAGGCACACUCGUGAGAGUGAUUCUCCUUUUUUACUCAAAAAAAAAAAAAGAAAGAAAGAGUGAUUCUCCUUUUAAACAAACAUUAUUAAUGUGUUUCUUCUUAAAAAUUAAAAGUAAUGCACACAUUUCAAUACUUCCUCCGUCCUAAAUUAUAAGCAAAAAAAAAAAAAAUCACAUUUAUUAAGAAAACUAAAACAUAAGAAUUUGAAGUAUAAUUUUUUGUGUUUUCUUUAAAAAAAAAUUAUAGGAAGAUGUAAAAACAAUUUUCGUUGGCUAUUGGUUAUGGAAAAAGUGAAAGAGAGAGAAAAUUGAAUGUAAUUUGCGUUUAAUUUUAUGAGAAUAAACAAAAGUUUUUCUUGGGAAAAAGAUUUAAAAAAAAAGAUUAAAUAAGAUAAAAAUUUAUCUUUUUUGCUUAUAUUUUAGGACAAAGAAAAUGAGUUUUUUUGCUUAUAUUAUGAGACGGGGGGAAUAUAUGACACUUUUACCGUUUUCAAUUCACACCAUGCUAAUCCUAUCAAAUGUGAGACUUGUGUUUAUUUCAAUCUUCAUUCGUGAUUAAAUAGAAACUAACCAAUUAGAAUAUUGACAUUAGUAAGUACUCUAUGAAUACAAUAUUUAAAAGGAUACUGUUAACUUGUGCCCAUAGAGUAUAUGUUAAUAAACUUAAAAGAAGAAACUUUCUCUAAAAUUUUAUACAUUCAAUUAAUUAAAAAUUAAAAGUAAUGCACACAUUACAAUAAACUAUUUUUAUAUUUAAUUUUCCUAUUUAAAAAAGAUGCAAGAUGCACGUGAUAAGCACCAGACAAGUAUCAAUUUCAAAUCUCAAUAAUAAUCAAAGUGGAGGUGGUUUUCCUUAAAAAAAAAAAAAAAAGUAAGAGGAGGUGGUUGAAGCAAAAUUAACCCGGAUUUGCCCAGCUGUCAUUCCUAGGACGCACCUACAAUCUUAAAACCAAAAUGCUGGUCUAAUAUUAAGCAGUUAUAUUUAAAUGUUUUAAUUUUUUUACACUCAUUCAACACUUAAUUUUCAGAAUUUUUUUAUUUUUAUCUAAAAAAUUGUUUUUUGUUUAUAAGAGGGAAGAGAAAUAUAUAUUUUAAGAUAAAAGAAGAGGUAAAAGAAAAGUGUAAUUUCCUCAAAUUCUUAAUAUUAAUUUAAUAUUAAUAAUAGACACACGUGGUCACGUGCUAUCUACCAUGAUUGCUGAUUUUUUAUUUUUUUUUAGAGGAUGAUUGCUGAUCUUCUAGCUAUAAAUAGGUGAUUUAUUAGUUAUAGGAAUCAUCCACUUCCAUCGAAAUAUAAAAUCAGUGGCUUUUAAUAUCAAAGAUGAGACCUGCUCUUGCUUUAUUUCCCCUCUUGCUUUUCUUGGUAUGUUUUACUUUUCGUGGUUUCAAUUAGUAGAGUGCACUCUAAAUUCUAAUGCUUCAAAAUAAAAAAAACCUCUGAUAUUUUACAUUUAAUUGAACAAUUAUUUUCUUGUUGGAAAGUUUUUGUCUUUUCUUCCGGAUACUGAAAGUUAAUCGAUUAGUACUUCUUAGAGUAAUUUUAUGGAAAAUAUAAGUUAUUUCGUGUUUAUUUAUAUCCAUAAAAUCAUUUUUAAAUCUUCUUUAUCAUUUAUGAUUUCGUUAUAAUCACUGACGUCAAAAUUAUUGUCUGCCUUUCUGCUAUCGUAUUGCACUCAAUUGUUUGUUUAUUUCAUCUUAUUUUGUUAUUAAAUUUCAAUAAUAUAUCCCAAUCAGAUAAAGAUUUUAGGUUUAUUGAUGUGUUUAGCCCUUGCAAUUAGGCGGCAUUUAAAAAUUCGUCCCUGUAAUUGUUAAUCCUGGCAUUUUAACCCUGCAAUUGUUAAUCAUUUAAAAUUUCGUCCCUCUCCCCACUUAAUCACUGCCACGCCACAUGAAAUUCCAAAUUUACCCCUGGGUUUCCAAUUCUUUCUUCAAUAUUUUGUCCUCUUCUUAAGGGCAAAAUUGAAAUUUCAUGUGUGACAGUGAUUGCCACGUCAUCAAAUUAGUGACGUGGCAGUGAUUAAUUUGGUCCAAGGACCAAAUUUUAAACGAUUAACAAUUGCAGGGUUAAAAUGCCAGGAUUACCAAUUACAGGGACGAAUUUUUAAAUGCCGCCUAAUUGCAAGGGCUAAACACAUCAAUAAACCAAGAUUUUAUUCAUAUUGCAGUGGAAUUGCUUAUAUUAAAAUGAGAUGAGAUUUAGUUGAUUUUUUAAUUAAAAAUUUAAAUAGUAUUAUUCAAUACAAAAGAUAAACUUGUAAUUAAAAUAGUUUAACCGAAUGGUAUAAUUAGAAGAUAAAAACUCAGUCCAAAAUCUUGUACCCCCUUCACAUAGAGGUAUAGAUAGGUAUAUAUACCACAAUUAAAUAAAGAUUCAACGUGUCAUGUUUCUAUUAUAGUGAAAUUGUUCAUAUUAUACCGAGAUUUAACCAACUUUUCUAAUUAAAGGUUUAAAUAAUAUUUAAAAAAAAGUAAAAUUGUAAUAAGAAUAGUUAAUGAAGGGCACAACUGAAUGAUAAAAAGUCAUCCUAAAAUCAUAUUUCUUCUUUAUAUAUAUAUAUAUAUAUAUAUAUAUAUAUAUAUAUAUAUAUAUAUAUAUAUAUAUAUAUUGUACAACAGAAACUUGUGUUUAAAAUAAUUUUCAUUAUAAUAAGAUUUUACAUUUUUUUAAAUGUAAUUUAUUUCUUUGCUAAAAAAGUUAUUUAUUUCUCAUUAUUAACAAACUGCCAAGAUUGUGUGACACAAAUAAUAAAUAUUUUGGUCCCUUGACCAUUAGGUCCAUUGCACGGAAGAUGCCUUUUUUGAUUUACCAAAAAAUGAUUAGCAAGCUCGUUGGAAAUCCUUAAAUAUAAUUAUUUUAUAAAAAAAUCUCAAAUUAAAAAGUUCUUAUUUGAGCUAAUUAGCCAUACUUAUACGACUCACAUUGGUUAUUCACUUGAGUGAGUGUUUUUUUUCUGCAAAACAUUCAAGUGAGUGUUGGGGACCUGACCAAUAGCAAAAUAAAAAUAAAAAAACACAUAAAUAUUAUAUAAAUAUGACAUUGAUUAAUGUAAUCUUAUAAUUGAUAUUUACUAAUUCUAUUUAAAAGUUUAUUAUGUUCCAUUUAUUUCUCUUAAAAUCGCAAGCUCUCCCCCAAAAAACAUCUCCUCCACUUAAGAUCAAUCCACCUAAAUUUCUCUCCGAGAGUCAUUUUAAUCACUUUUACUUCUUAUUGAAUAGAAACCUAAAACAUCAUGAGAAAACAAAUUCUUAAAAGAAUAUCUCAAUUAAUGAUUAUUUUAAAAAUAUGUAGAUCAACCAUCUCUAAUAUUCUUGAAGUUAUUAUCGGAUAAAGAACAAUAGAUUCUGGUUGACAUGUUCCCGAUAAGAAGAUCUACUCUCAUCAGUUUGAGAAAAUGGGGCAUUCUUAAGGAACAUAAAACAAUUAUCAAUGAUUUUCCAAAUUUUAGGAUCAAUUUAUUAGGAUACAAGUUAAUAUGGUGGCUUUGCUGCUUAGAAAAGGCUUCCACAUUUUAUCUCAACUCCAACACUGCUUACGAUGUUCAAUAUGAUCUCCCUAUCCUUAAAAAAAAGAAUAUAAUAAAUAAUUAUGAGUGUUUUUUCCUUUUCGGUUAGGGAAUAAAUUUCUCUUUUAAACGAUUCUAUAUUAAAAAAGAGAGCUAUACAACUGCACAUAUAGACCAUUAUUUUUUCAUAUAUCUUAUUAAUUUCUUAUUUUGCGAUAAAGUUUGUAGCAAUUGUAGAAACAAGAAAAGAUUUGGGACAAUAUCGAAAACUAGUCAUGAAAGAUGAAGACAUGCGAAAAGAAAUUCAAGGGCUUCUUUACACCGAGACGAAAAAGAAUCUCAAGACUCCAAAGCAGUGUUUCAAAGGUUUUAAACAUGAUUGUGAAGAGCCAUUUGUAAUAGACACACAAGUCACCAUAGAAAAUGACAUCAUCCGUGCUAAGAGAAAGAAGGGAGUCACUAAAAAUUUUGAACCAAGACCAAAUGUUUCAAAAUAUGAAGAUAAUGACAUUAAUGCUGAGGAAAAGAAGAGAGUCGUCAAAGACUUUGAACCAAGACCUAAUGUUUCAGCUUAUGGAGCAAAUGAAAUUGAUGCUAAGGAUAAGAAGGGAGUUAUUGAUGAUUUUGAACCAAGACCCAAUGUUUCAGCUUAUGGAGACAAUGACGUUGAAGCUAAGAAAAAGAAGGGAAUCACUGAAGAUUUUGAACCAAGAUACAAUGUUUCAGCAUAUGGAGACAAUGGUGUAGAAGUUAAGGGAAAGAAGAAAGUCGUUAAAGAUUUCAAACCAAGACCAAAUGUUUCAGCUUAUGGAGACAAUGGUAUUGAUGUUAAGGAAAAUAAAGGAGCCAAUACGGAUUUUGAACCAAGACCAAAUUACGUUUCAGCAUAUGGAGACAAUAAUAUUGAUGUUACAGAAAAUAAAGGAGCCAAUAAAGAUUUUGAACCAAGACCCAAUGUUUCUGCUUAUGGAGAUAGUGAUAUUGAUGUUAAGGAAAAUAAAGGAGUCAGUAAAGAUUUUGAACCAAGACCCAACGUUUCAACAUAUGGAAACAAUGAUAUCGAUGUUACAGAAAAUAAAGAAGUCAAUAAAGCUUUUGAACCAAGAGCCAACGUUUCAGCGUAUAAAAACAAUGACAUUGAUGUUAUGAAAAAGAAGAACGUUACCAAAGAUUUUGAACCAAGAUCUAACGUUUCAGUUUAUGGAGACAACAAUAUUGAUGUUGAACCCAGACCAAGUGCCACUAAAUAUGAUGCAUAAAUGAAAUAGACCACUACUUCAAUCUAUAAUUAAAUAAGUCAUUGCCGCAUAAUGUUCGAUGAUUACUUAGCAUGUAUGCUGUAUUAAGCUUUUUGAAUAAUUGUAUUCUUGUCAAGUUAAGAUAUCAGUGGUGGAACUUCCCGUUGUUUACCAAGAACUGGACUUGGACUUGUCCUUGGUGAAAGGGAAUGCUUCUUCGACAUCAAUAUCUUCCUUGAUGGAUGUUUUAAAAUAUGGGAUAUUUCUUUUAUGAAGAAUGCAUGUUAGGGUAUUGUUUGAAGAAAUAAAAGAAGCAAGCUUGUAUAAAAAUGUGGUGUGAUUAUUACAUUAAUAAAAUUUUAUUUUAUGAAUACCGUAAUUAAUUUUCCAAGGACGCUCGUUAGCAUGAUCAUUCAUUUAUAUCAAUGUACACAAAGUUCGACCCUUCAUUACUCUCUUUUUCUUUGCACUUUGCAAAAAAAAAUGUCUUAACUUAUGUCACUUUACAAAAUCAAUGAAAUAUUAAUGCUUCAUUGUAGGUUCAUGUGUUUUCAAGCAAAAAUAUACAGUUCAUGAAUUUAGAUUAGCUAUAAAGACUAAAUUGUCUCUUUUCAAUUAUCGUUAGAGACCAUAAUUUUUCCUUAAUUCAGUCACAUAACUGUAUAUGCAAUAUAGUGACUUAGUGGAUUGACACGGAAGAUGAAUAUAUUACAUGUUAGAAAAACAAAAUUGAUGGAGGUUAUAUUUAAGAACUAAAGUGCUUCAGUUGUGGAGUCCUCCCUCGAGGGGCUUCUUAAAAAUCAACGUAGAUUCUCAUCUUCUAGAUGAUGGCAUGUUGGGGUUUAGGAUUCAUCUCUCGACAGAAGGAUGGGAACACAUUGCAGUGGCUACUAAGGUCGUAAAGAGUGGGGAAGAUUCUCAGGUGGCGGAGGCAACAUGGAUCAAGGAAGUUAGUAAUGUCUAAUUGUCUAUGAUAGAAGAGAACCAGGUUGAAGUUGUGUUUAUAGAAUUUUUUUUUUUUAUUUUUUUGGAGAGAGGGAAGGAAUAACUAGGGUUUGUCAUCAAUUUCUAGCAAAUUACCAUAGGGUUUCUCUUAGGUCGGUGAGAAAACGUGUCACAACUCACAGGCUUGCCCAUGAAAUUGCAAAAUGGGCAGCUAGGGAGUUGAAAAGAAUUUGAAUUUUUGAAAUACUAAACCAUAUUGUAACUUAAUCUCUCAUAUUUAUAGGCAAAUGUUAUUUUUUGAGAUUCAUUGAAUAAUUGAUGUAUCUUUACUAUAAUGUAGUCUAGAUGCACAUGUUAUUUAUUGAAUCUUAAAAAUGAAUAGUUGUUUAUAUAUGUGAUCGGAGAAAGUAUAUACAAAAAGAUAUGGGCAAAUAAUUAAGAACUAAAGUGUUUUUUUAUUAUAAUUAUUAUUUUGGUUGCAAAAGAUUAAAAUUUGCAUUUUUUUAUUGUGACGGGAUCAAAAGAAGUCUCUUUUUUUUUUUGUGAGGGACCAUACGAUAUCAAAUUUAGUCUUCAUGCUUAAAAAAAUGAAGUAGAUGAAAAUUUGCAUUUUUAUUAUUAUUAUUAUGAGGGAUCAAAAGAGCUCUCUGGUUUUUUGUGAGGGACCGUACGAGAUCUCAAAUGAAAUGAAGUUGGCUUAUUCCCCCCACUUUUUGUCCUUUUUAACUAAGCAACAAUUGGCUAGUUUUAUUUCAUUUUUAGUUUCAGCGCCAUCAUGAAAAUACAUCGAUGAUGCGAGACAUUUCGAACCAGUUUGCAAACACUAAGGAGUCAUAUUUGGUUGUAAUAACAAACAGACAGAGCACAACACACGUGAUGACCAAUGUUUUGAUUAAGAUUAAAUUUUGUUUAGCACUCAACAAAGAGUUUAUAACUACCUACAGUAUAAAAUUAGUAAGUGACAGAUAGAAAAAAGCAUAUAGCAUGUUAAAAAUAGAGAAAUAGUUGCUUGUAGGAGAGGUGAGUUGGAAAAGAAACACGUUUUCUUCUGGGUGUAUCUAUUACCAUGCACAUCACCUUGGUCAUCGCUUUCUUUUGAGAAUCCUCCUCCUCCUCCUGCCCUUUUCUCUCACCUUAUAAGGUAACAUUAAAUUUCAUUAAUCCCUUCUUCUUAAUCUCUCUCUCUCUCUCUCUCUCUUUCAAAAAUAACUAACUUAGAUCCAUGCAAUAAGAUGAACAUGUGUUAUACUAACAUAUUUUAUUAUUACAGGUAGGUUUGAGAAUACAUGAUCGAUCGGGGUCAAUAUUUGAGGGAGCUGAGUGUGACUUCUUCAGAUCAUUCUUUAUAACAAUGUCUUCUAUUUCCCAAGAAUCUUCUCCAGGACCAGACGCUCAAAAUUCGUCUCCACCAGAUUCAUCAUCAUCACCACCACCAUCACUCUCACCACCACCCUCGUCACCACCACCUUCACUCUCACCACCACCCUCAUCACCACCACCAUCAUCUCCACCACCUCAAUCACCUCCUCCAUCGUCUCCAUCACCAUCUUCCCCUCCUCCAUCUUCUCCGUCUCCGACUCCACCUUCUAACACUUCCCCAUCUCAACCAUCACAAUCACCACCACCACCACCACAACCACAGUCAUCACAGGCUCCACCUAACAACUCACCAUUGCCUCCAAACCAGGGUGUCUUUUCUCCUCCUCCUCCUCCUCCUCCGACGUCACAUCAUCAUCAUAAAUCAUCACCCUCGAACAACGGCAACAAUACAAAUGAUAACAAUGGGAAUCAAUUGAGCGUGGGUGGUAUAAUAGCAGUUGCAGGUGCAGCUUGUAUAAUCCUCCUUGUCAUUAUCCUACUCUGCGUUAUAUGUACAAGAAGGAAGAAGAGAUCACAACCUCAUCACAUUCAUUACUACCCUACUCCAGCACACGGUAUAUAUUUUUAUAUAUCUCCUAUUUCUUUUUUUAAUAGGAAUUUGCAAAUAAGCAUGUUAUGAAGUUUAGAAUAGUUAAUGGGGGAAGCUAAUUAAUUAAUUAAUUAAUUAAUGAUUCAUAGCCUAUUCUUAUUUUUUUGAUCAGAAAUGGAUCCUCUAAAGCUUUUGCAUGGUGCCAUAGUCGACGCGGUAGAGGAUCCAAAUUUGAAUCUUAUGUAGCUACAAUAUGGUGUUGCAAAUGUAGAAACUGUAAGAUAUAAAAAAAAAAUGUUAUCUUUGAAUUUAUCAAUCCCUGGUCAUAAAGGAUCUAAUUUGUUCAAAUCAUUUGUUAAAAGGCUAGUUGUAUAUGUUGAGUAUGUGUUAUAAUGCUAAUAAGUGGGAGAGUCAAUUAAGCGAAGCGAGAGUGACAUGCCUUUUUGAACCAACACAGUUACACGAAGGUAAGUUGCGAGGGGUGAUUAGGGACGCGGGUUUGAAGCCUGAACCGUAAUAUAUAAAUACAAGUUGUACAAUUUAAAUCCUAUUCUUUUAAGAUGACGAUGAUAGAAAGGAACUGCACAAUUGGUAUAACUUUGUUACCAAACAUAUGUGUUCUCUGCUUAUGGAAUUUCUUGCUUCUACUCUACCGAUAUAUAGUGUACAGAAAAUGACUAGUAUUAUAAACAUGCAGGUGCAAAUCAGUAUAUGUACAACAAUGGUGAGCAUGUGCUUAAUAUUCCUCCACCAGCUCAAGGUGGUGGUUGGACUCCAACACCUCCAAAAAAAACACCUCCAAAAAUGACACCUUCAAAAAAGACACCUCCGCACCAGGUUAGUAGCAGUGAGUUGACCAACUCCAGUUACUCUGGCCCAGUAGAUCCUGUAUUGCCACCACCACACCCAACGGUUGCACUUGGGUUCAACCAGAGCUCAUUCAGUUAUGAAGAGUUAUCAACUGCCACCGGUGGGUUUUCAAAACAAAACUUGUUGGGUCAAGGUGGGUUUGGAUAUGUACAUAAAGGUAUUCUCCCUAAUGGUAAGGAAAUAGCGGUGAAGAGCCUUAAAUCAACUGGUGGACAAGGUGACAGAGAAUUUCAAGCUGAGGUUGAUACUAUAAGCCGUGUACAUCAUCGCUAUCUUGUCUCGCUUGUUGGCUAUUGCAUUUCUGAAUCUAAAAAGCUUCUUGUUUAUGAAUUCGUUCCCAACAAGACCCUUGAUUAUCACCUUCAUGGUAAGCUAUCUUUCAAACUAUAAUUAAUAUUACUUGUUUGUUGGAUUUAAUUUGACACUCUUGUAUGUAAUAUUAAUUUUUUGCAGGAAAGGGUCGACCUGUGAUGGAUUGGGCCACAAGGCUUAAAAUUGCGGUUGGAUCCGCCAAAGGACUUGCUUAUUUACACGAGGACUGUAAGUUACUAUGUGCUUGUAAUCUAAUUUUGACAAAUGACUAAAAUACAUUUUUAUGGAUGAAUCCGUAGAGAGAACUCAAAUUCGAAUAUGGCGAGAAUAUUCAUUGACCAGAAUUUACCCUCUUCCCCCCAAAAACUAGAGGGUUAAGCCCGAAAAACUAACAUUAUCAUUAAUAACUUGUUCAAACAAUAACCUGCAGGUCACCCUAGAAUCAUUCACCGAGACAUCAAGGGUGCAAACAUUCUAAUUGAAAACAACUUUGAAGCCAAAGUACGUAUAAUGAUCAUUUACUAUAUGUUUAGUUAUUAAAGAAUUGUAAUUAUCAAGUGAUUCUAUCCAUUUAGGUGGCAGAUUUUGGAUUGGCAAAAUUUACUCAAGACACUAACACUCAUGUUUCUACUCGUGUGAUGGGAACAUUUGGGUAAUUAAAUAAUAAUUCAACCCAAACUAUAUACAUUUAUUUAUGUAUGAAUCUUUUGCAAAUUCCAAAUAAUUUCUACCUACUUGUAUAUGGCUAUCAAUUCAGGUAUAUGGCUCCUGAGUAUGCAUCAAGUGGUAAGCUAACUGAUAAAUCUGAUGUCUUCUCGUAUGGUGUUAUGCUUUUGGAGCUCAUAACAGGACGACGGCCAGUCGGUACCGCCGGCAGUGAUUACGAGGAAGAUAGUUUAGUUGAUUGGGUAUAUAUUGCAUUUCAUAUUUCGACAUUAUUUUGAUUAUGAAUAUUUCCAAUACUAGAUUAUCAUAAUGUCAUAUUCCUAUAAUUACGUACCAUACUUUGUUUAUGAAAAUGCAGGCUAGACCACUUUGUUCAAAAGCACUGGAAUAUGGAAUAUAUCUUGGAUUGGUGGAUCCACGUUUAGAGGAAAAUUAUGAGAAACAAGAUAUGACACGUAUGGUAGCUUGUGCUUCUGCUUGUGUUAGGCACUCAGGAAGAAGGCGUCCAAGAAUGAGUCAGGUAUAACAUAAUUCUUUAAUUUGAAUAGCUAAGCUAAUUUGUUAAUUGUUACGUAAGACAUGUUGAUAUUUAGUUAUAUUAUAUGCUAACAAAAACAUGAAAUAUAUUUAUGUAUUUGAAUUGAAUAGAUUGUACGGGUACUGGAAGGAGAUGCUUCACUAGAAGUGCUUAUAAACCAGGAUGGAGUGAAACCUGGACAUAGUGCUAUGUACAGUAGCGCAAGUGGAGAUUAUGAUGCAGGGACAUACAGUGCUGACAUGAAAAAGUUCCGGAAACUAGCAUUGGAAAGUAGCACAGGGAGCAGUGAGUACGGUGCAACUAGUGAGUAUGGACUCAACCUUUCCGCCUCGAGCAGUGAUCAAUCUUCUGUUGAUUAUACUAGGAGGACGGUAACUGGAACCGGAGGCGGAUCAAAAUUCCAUGAAAAAUAAAGCCUGAUAUGAUCCUAUUUUAUUUGUUAACUAGCUAGAUAGCUAGCAAAAGUAACAGCUGAUUAUCUAGCGAUAUGAUUUUAAUUCAGGCCAUGGCAUAAAAUUAGUGCCACAGGGAAAGAAAUACAUGACAGAGUUAUAUUCUUUUGUGACUUUUUGUAUGAUUCAUUGAUAAGGAUAUACGUAAUUCCCAUUACAAAAAAAAAUAUUCUAAGGAGGCAAAAGCUAAAACUAAAAAAGUUCAAUCAAGUCCUUCAAAAUUACAACAGAGAACAUCCAAUUGCAAGUGCUACUAUUAGUGCUGAAGUUAUUGUGAAUAAAAUGUGAUUAAGAUUUAUUUGUUUGGACAACAUCAAACAUUGAUUGCGUGUUAGUUUGAAAAACUUUUACUUAAACCGUUACCACACCAAAAUAGUUGAUCAUUUUUUCAUUGUCAUUCUCAAACAAAUGACUAAAAAGGUAAGUGUCCGUGCCAUAGAAUGAGAUAUGCUUGAAAUAUCAAUUUGAUAAGAAUUUCCCAACUUGCCCAAGACAAAACACUUGUCAUUCUAAGAAUUGGUAAUUCAUCCAAGUUUUUUUGUUUUGUUUGAAAGAUUCAAGUUAGAUCUUUUAAGAAUCCUUUUUACUUCUACCAAUCAUUUACUAUUAGUGCCGAACUUUGUAACGCAAGUUUGUAACCUAAGUAGGGGCAAUAAGGUAUUAGAAGGUCCAUACAGAGCUUGCUUUGGCUUUAAACGGGGCCACCGCAAGUGGGCGGUGGGAUUGGUCCCCUUGGAUUAGUCGAUUCUUGGAUCAGAUACCGAGUUUUAAAAAAAAAAGGUAUUAAAAGGUCUUUGAUGUGGAUUCUGCAUCAACACUCACUCACCGUGAAACUAAAAAAUUUGAGACUCCGGCUAAUGUGGAUCGUUUAGUCAAUGAUUUAAACAAGAAUUUUUGAGUGGUGUUAUGAGUUGGCCCCCUAGUUUUUUUUUAGGCUUAAUUGCACUUUUGGCCCCCUAUAUUUUAAGAAGUUGCGAUUUUGACCCCCUAACUAAUUAAAAUACAAAACAGCCCCCUAUGUAUUGGAUCUUUGGCAGUUUUUGCCCUCUAACUAAUUAAAAUACAAAACAGCCUCCUAUGUACUAGAUCUUUGGCAGUUUUGGCCGCCUGGAUCAAUUUUGACUCGGUCAACGCUGACGUGACACUUCAAAGCCGCCAUGUGUGCAUUGUUUUAAUUAAAAAUAAAUAAAAAAAGUCACAUAUAAGUUAAAGAAUGAAAUAAAUGAAAAAAAACAACAAAUAAUUAAAAAAAUAAAAAAGAAAGAAAAAAAAGGAAGGAAAUCGUGUUCCAAAAUCUGAUUCUCCCUCUUCUUCCUCUCAUCUCUCUCUAAAACACUGAUUCUCUCUGUCCAAAACCCCUUGUUCCAAAAUCUUGAAGAUUUCUGCCACUAUUUCAUCACCACCAUGGAGUUCAAAAACACUUUUUAACUGAUUCAAGAAUAGAUAUUCAUACUAUUAAAGAUUAUUCAGAUAUUCCUGCAUUAUUCAUGCUGACACUGAUAAUAUUGCAUUUAUAACUGCAAAUUAACAAAUAACUGAGCAGUUUAUAAUAAAUAUACAGAUAGGAAACGACAAAGUAAAGGAGGAAAAAAAAGAAUUUAUAUGAUAAAUAUAUCAAGCUAUUGGAUUGUUAGGGAACAAUGGAGGUGUAAUUCUUAUUCAAGUUAUGUAUAGACAACAUGAAACUAAUAUAGCUGUCUUGUUUUGUUCCCUUUAUGUAUGUCAAAGUGCAUGUUAUAUGCUCCAUUUUCUUUUGAUAAAAACGAAACUUUCGUUUCGUUCAAUAGAACAUUAUUUCAUUAUCGUGCUUGCAUUGAGCUACUCAUCCUUUUUCCACUUUUUCCAUGCUUCUGUCAAUGGAGCAGGUUCUUAAAUUAGUGCUUUAGAGAGAGAUGAGAGGAAGAAGAGUUAGAAUCAGAUUUUGGAACACAAUUUCCUUUUUUUCCUUUCCUUUUUAUUUUUUUUAAUUAUUUGUUUUUUUUAAUUUAUUUAAUUCUUUAAUUCAUAUGUGGCUUUUUUUAUUUAUUUUUAAUUAAAACAAUGCGCACGUGGCGGCUUUGAAGUGCCACGUCAGCGUUGACCAAGUCAAAGUUGGUUUAGGGGGCCAAAACUGCCAAAGAUCCAAUACAUAGGAGGCUGUUUUGUAUUUUAAUUAGUUAGGGGGUCAAAACUGUCAAAGAUCCAAUACAUAGGGGGUUGUUUUGUAUUUUAGUUAAUUAGGAGGCCAAAAUCACAACUUCUUAAAACAUAGGGGGCCAAAAGUGCAAUUAAUCCUUUUUUUUAAGACAAAUAUUAGGGUGCAAACUUUGUAAAGUAGUAUAAGCUUUCACAUUUUAAUUAUGUUCACAAUUUUUAAGAAAUGGUUAAUUGUGUUGAUUUUAAUGGUAAAAUUAAUAUCAUUUACUAAAAUAUUUUUAUUAAUUGUAGUUAAUGGAGUAGUUAAGUUGAAUGAAAUAUAACGGUGGAAAAAACAAUAAAUAUGAAACAAGUUCUAAUAAUUACCUCUAAAAAAAAAUCCAUAAUUAAAAAUACUCCUACAUAACAAGUUCAGUGUGAAUGAAACACAUGUGAUUCAGACAAACAUGCCUCAUAAGUGCAAAGAUAGGAGUUGUCCACUACUCUCAUGGAUGUUGUUGAAGCUCCUCUUGAUGCAGUCUUUUUGAGAAAACAAAUUUAAAAAAUGAAUUAAACAAAUAGCAUUUCUGCUUCUGAGCAGAACCAUAUAUAUAUUCUUUUUUGAAUUUGUUUGGAAUGCAACUAAAAAAAACUGAAGUUUUACAGGUUCUAAGUACAAGUGUCACAUUUUCAUACUUCUUCAUGAUCUUGUAAAAUGCCGAGAGAUCAUUAAGGAAUUAUGUGUAACUUUUCUUUGGAAAAUAUGAAUGAGUAGAAAUUACACAUUGCAUUUCAUUUCAUUUUAUUGCAGUUUCCAUGAAACAUAAAUAAACAAAAACAAGUUCGGAAUCAGAAUCCUACCUUUAUGGUAAUUUCUUCUUCAUGUCAUAUAGCAUUGUUAGGCUUUAACUUUCAUGGACCAUUGUCACCACAAUUCAACUUCCGCUAGCUAGAAACAUUUAAUAGUGAGAAGACAUCAAAAUAAUGUUGCGAGCAAAGAAAAAAAGAGAUAAUCAAAUCCUCAAAAUCAUGUACCAAAGUUAGAAGGAAUCUUGCUUUGUCUCAAAACUAAUGUGAGGAGAAAAGAUCAAAUGAAGUUGUUACGAAAGAAAUAAAAGAAAAAACAAACAGUUAUGAAUGAUUGAUCAGUAGAAAUAAUUAGCAGUUGCAGUUAUGAAGACUGUUAAUUAGAAUUUAAAAGUUCUUUAACUUGGCUUUUUGUCUAACAUCUUGAUCUGCAUCCUCGUAGAACCAAACAAGUGCUAUCUGCUUGUCUUCAAUAUAAUCCAUCAGUACGUACGUUGUUUCAAUAUAAAGCUUCAUCAUAAUAUUUGGAAUUUGUUUCCAAUUAACUACAAUCUAUUGCAGGUCCACAAGUUUUGCAUAAGUGUAUCUAGUUUUGACAAACCUUUUAGUCGUCCAAUGAGCAAAUUAGUCAUUAUUUUAUUUUCUAUAAUGUACGAUACUACAUCAAUAUUAAAGAAAAACUGUUCUUAAAGCAUGAAAAUAAUGCAAAUAUAUAUUAAUUAUAUAUUUUUUUGGAGGCAGUGAUAAUUCAAUGAAGAAAGCUUUUUGUAACAUAUUUUAUUAAAUUCAUUGAAGAAAUCUUUUUUGUAAAAUAUUUUAAAGUAUAAAUAUUUGUAUUUGAGCAUUGCUUUAAAUAAUAUGCAUACAAUAAGUUGAUCACUUCAAAGUUAAAGAUCAAAGUCUGUUUUCAUUCUCUUUCCCAUUAAAUUUCCUCACAUUGCUCACUCACACUCGCAUCAGAACAUUCUUUUCUUUUUCUUUUCUCUCUAUUAACUCACUCCCUCUUAUUCUUUCAACACAUCGAUGGAUCCCUUCAGAGAUAUCAUGAAUGGCUUUGAAGUAACUCGAGAUGGAAAAAGUGUAGUCAUCCCUGCCCCUUUUGUAUGGCCGCUGAUUGCAGAGCAACCGUUCACAGCUACAAAUAUCUCUUGCAAAAUAGAAUAGUUAAUAUCACCGGAGCUGUUCCGUGCAAGAAAUGCAAAGAAAAGUUCCAAAUGUCUUUUCAUUUGAGAGAAAAGGUUCCUGAAAUAUUGAAGUUUGUUACCGAAAACAGGAACGACAUGCAUGACAGGGCGCCAACCAUUUGGAUGAAGCCAACAUUGCCUAAUUGUGUGCACUGUAAUCAACAAAACAGUGUGAAGCCGGUAAUUGCUGACAAGAAACGGAGUAUCAACUGGCUGUUUCUGUUAUUAGGACAAAUGCUUGGCUGCUGCACGCGUAAACAGCUGAAGUAUUUCUGCAAACACACCAAGAAUCAUGAAUCAGGUGCCAAGAAUAGAGUUCUUUAUUUAACUUAUCUUGGACUCUGCAAACAACUUGAUCAUCCCAGACCCUUUGAUACUGGACCCUUUGAUUAUGAUGCUUGAUCACUGACUCAUUUCAUGCAUAUCAUCUAUUAUAUUUUAUAUUAGUCUUAAGGUUUGUUGCCAUUUAUUUUCUUAUUUCGUUCAUACUUUGUCUUAUACAUGCAAAUGUAUAAUCUCCUCUAUAUUCACCAAAAACAAUACGUACUUGUUUAAUCUCCUCUAUACAAGCAAUGAUUCUAAUGAAAGCAUGUUUUUGUUACCGCAUUGAUCAGUGAAUCCCAUUCAUUGACUAGUUUGUACAAAUUGUGUUUACUUUUAUUUAUUAUCUUUUGUAUGAAUCGUUGAUUAGGAUACACAUAAGGAAAA